rnacentral:rRNA from 1 species
GAGCGGUAGAGAGAAGCUUGCUUCUCUUGAGAGCGGCGGACGGGUGAGUAAUGCCUAGGAAUCUGCCUGGUAGUGGGGGAUAACGUCCGGAAACGGACGCUAAUACCGCAUACGUCCUACGGGAGAAAGCAGGGGACCUUCGGGCCUUGCGCUAUCAGAUGAGCCUAGGUCGGAUUAGCUAGUUGGUGGGGUAAUGGCUCACCAAGGCGACGAUCCGUAACUGGUCUGAGAGGAUGAUCAGUCACACUGGAACUGAGACACGGUCCAGACUCCUACGGGAGGCAGCAGUGGGGAAUAUUGGACAAUGGGCGAAAGCCUGAUCCAGCCAUGCCGCGUGUGUGAAGAAGGUCUUCGGAUUGUAAAGCACUUUAAGUUGGGAGGAAGGGCAGUAAAUUAAUACUUUGCUGUUUUGACGUUACCGACAGAAUAAGCACCGGCUA